rnacentral:rRNA from 1 species
CCUACGGGUGGCAGCAGUGGGGAAUAUUGCACAAUGGGGGCAACCCUGAUGCAGCAACGCCGCGUGAGUGAAGAAGUAUUUCGGUAUGUAAAGCUCUAUCAGCAGGGAAGAAGAAAGACGGUACCUGACUAAGAAGCCCCGGCUAACUACGUGCCAGCAGCCGCGGUAAUACGUAGGGGGCAAGCGUUAUCCGGAUUUACUGGGUGGAAAGGGAGCGUAGACGGCAUUGCAAGUCUGAAGUGAAAGCCCGUGGCUCAACCGCGGAACUGCUUUGGAAAAUGUUGAGCUGGAGUGCUGGAGAGGCAAGCGGAAUUCCUAGUGUAGCGGUGAAAUGCGUAGAUAUUAGGAGGAACACCAGUGGCGAAGGCGGCUUGCUGGACAGAGACUGACGUUGAGGCUCGAAAGCGUGGGGAGCAAACAGGAUUAGAUAUCCGAGUAGUC